CUCAGAUUGAACGCUGGCGGCAGGCCUAACACAUGCAAGUCGAGCGGCAGCGGGAAAGUAGCUUGCUACUUUUGCCGGCGAGCGGCGGACGGGUGAGUAAUGCCUGGGGAUCUGCCCAGUCGAGGGGGAUAACAGUUGGAAACGACUGCUAAUACCGCAUACGCCCUACGGGGGAAAGGAGGGGACCUUCGGGCCUUUCGCGAUUGGAUGAACCCAGGUGGGAUUAGCUAGUUGGUGGGGUAAUGGCUCACCAAGGCGACGAUCCCUAGCUGGUUUGAGAGGAUGAUCAGCCACACUGGAACUGAGACACGGUCCAGACUCCUACGGGAGG
rnacentral:rRNA from 1 species